CCUAACAAUAGUUUUCCACGUUCAAUUUUGACCAUUCUUCUUAUAUGAAAAUUUUUUUAAAAAUAAUUAAAACAUAAGUCAUGAGUAAAGUCCUAUUCAUAUUUUAUCAUCUUAUAACAAUAAAAAUGGUAAUUAUAAAAAAAAUUUAAAUAAGACAGACGAUCAAAGUUAAGCGCGGAAACUUAUGGCUGCACUUAUU
rfam:Oryza sativa Japonica Group DNA, chromosome 12, cultivar: Nipponbare, complete sequence.